CCGGGGCUCGGAGCUGGUGUAGCUCAUAUUGGGGCUCUUUUCGGGGUUUGUAAUUUGGCCGUGGGUAGGUAAUUGGCUGGAGCAGGGCGGCAGGGCGCGGCAGCCAAUCAGCGCGCGGCUUCUAUAGGGCUUGAGUUAUUAGACGCUGAUCUCAAAACAUCCUUCAUCAGACACGAAGGAGAGGCCAACAGAUGAGGGAAGCCAUUUUUCUGCAAUGGAAUUAAAUGGCCAAAGGCCCAAGGACUCACAGUUGGAAGACUGGAGAAGACUUUUUAAAAAGAUCUGGAUUUUUCCUUAUGACUUGGAAUCCAUCUUUGUCUUGUAUAACUAGGUCAUAGCACACCAUUCAUGUCAGCAGUUAACAGUUUUGAAUUCCAAAAAAACCUAAAGCAGUAAACAGUCCUCAGCGAAGCCGCCUUUUUGCCUACCCAACCCUGGAAAGUUUGCAGAAGUGGAAGGAGCAGAACGUGAGGGUGUAACUUACAAAAAGAGGUUCUGGGCCGGAGAAGGGGCGACGUUCGGGCACCCCCCGAAUGGACAAUCUUUCCUUCUGUCAACGGCAGGGGCAGGCCUAGUUUGACUCUGACAGUCCUCCCACUAAGGCCUAUUUCUCCAUCUCCGAAAACAGGGCUAGAUCAGUGGUUCUUAGUCUGGAACCGGCAUCAGAAUCACACCGGAAGGGGGGCUCACUGAAAAUGGACCACCGGGCCUGGUGCCCAAGUGUCUGAUUCAGUGGGUUGGUCCUUAGGACUGGCAUUUCUAACAAGUUCCCAGGUGAGGUGAGGCUGAUGCUGUGGUCUGGGAACACAUUUUGAGACUCCAGCCCCUAGCCUGGUAACACCUGGGGUUUUGACGCAGAAGUGCCACGUUCCACGCUUGGCACAUAGUAAUUGAUUUCAUUCUAACGCUAGCCGACUUCAUGUAUUGAAUAGUUUCCCAUCUCAGUGUCUAAGAAGCUCCACAGCUGGAGAUGGCGGCCCUUGGUCUCGGAGCCCCCCUCCUUGUGAUUUCUGCUUUGUGAUUGCUUUGAUGAACCAUUUGGGUCCAGGUGCUCCUGAUCACACCACCUCCCCUAUUUGGGACUUGUGCCCCACUCCCGCUGUGAGGGCUACACCGAGCUCUGGGGGCCUGUUCGGAUUAACAAGGAGAUCUUGCUAAAGGUAUCUUGGUGCUAAGUUAAGGGAGAUAGUUCGCCAUGGGCUAGGAUCUCUCAGUGCUGGUGACCUUGGGUGAGUGUCUCCCUGUAAAGUGAUAAGGAUGCCUGCUGGAAAGGGUGGUGGGAGGAUUAAGUGCGUUAAAGAGGCCCUCCUCCCAAGCUUUUAGUUGGCCUCCAUUGUGAUCGUGGUUAUUGCUGGGAGUGGCUGCAGGGGGUGGGGGCUGGGCUGCCUCAGAGCUUCCCCCCGCACCAGCCCACCUGCUGAAGCACGUGUCCCUGCCUCAGGGCAAAGGGGAAUCUGGCGCUCCCUGGGAAGGCGGCCAACGCGGUUCUCCUCUGGAGUGGUUGAGUCCAGCUGCAGGCCUUUCCCCAUCCACAGGGGCUGUUCCAUGAUGGGGUCAAGAUUUGGGUCACCCACCCAUGGUCCGGGGAGAAGUGACUCCCCAAGGUCACAAGGCCACCACCAAUAGAGCCAGGAUGGGGUUCCAGGUGGCUUGACUUGGCAGCCAGCGCCUGUGCCCAUGGCACCCCCUCACCCCAGCUGUCUGGGUUAUUUUGGGCUUCCUCCCGUGCCAAGGAAUUCCUGGUGACUGGAAGGGGGAGUGACUCAGGCCCUCAACCUCUAGCAGGUAAGGGAGCUACCUCCUGGGUGGGCAUGCCCAGUUCCUCAGUGGGCCCAGCGCGGCCCAGCCUCCGAGGAAGCUCUGAGCAGCUGGCUUGGCUCCGAGGUAUUUUUAGCUACAGAUCCAGCCCCCCUCCAUCACCACAACAGUCGAGUCCAAAUCAAACGCGCUCCAGGCAGGUGGGGCUGGGGUUCUGCCAGCCUCCUGGCCAGCAGGGGUGGGUGGGCAGACUGGGGCCAGUAUCAGCUGUUCUGCCUGGACCCAGGCCGGGCUGGGAAGGCACACUUGUGCUUAUUUCCCGCCUCCACUUCUGUGCAAGCUUGUGCUGUCAUAAGCAGAGAUCACAGCCCCAUUUCUUGGAUGGAGAAAGUGGACACUGAGGUCUGAGGCUUUUGAGGACAGUCAGGAGCCCUCCUAUGGGCUCCAGUGAUGCACUCACCAGCUUCUGGUCCUCUUCUUCCACCUC
rnacentral:lncRNA from 1 species